CCUACGGGCGGCAGCAGUGGGGAAUAUUGGACAAUGGGCGAAAGCCUGAUCCAGCCAUGCCGCGUGUGUGAAGAAGGCCUUCGGGUUGUAAAGCACUUUCAGUGGGGAAGAAAGCCUUGGGGCUAAUACCCUCGAGGAAGGACAUCACCCACAGAAGAAGCACCGGCUAACUCCGUACCAGCAGCCGCGGUAAUACGGAGGGUGCGAGCGUUAAUCGGAAUUACUGGGCGUAAAGCGCGCGUAGGCGGUCUGAUAAGCCGGUUGUGAAAGCCCCGGGCUCAACCUGGGAACGGCAUCCGGAACUGUCAGGCUAGAGUGCAGGAGAGGAAGGUAGAAUUCCCGGUGUAGCGGUGAAAUGCGUAGAGAUCGGGAGGAAUACCAGUGGCGAAGGCGGCCUUCUGGACUGACACUGACGCUGAGGUGCGAAAGCGUGGGUAGCAAACAGGAUUAGAUACCCCAGUAGUC
rnacentral:rRNA from 1 species